rnacentral:rRNA from 1 species
GAUGAACGCUAGCUACAGGCUUAACACAUGCAAGUCGAGGGGUAGCAGGGUAGCAAUACCGCUGACGACCGGCGCACGGGUGAGUAACACGUAUCCAACCUUCCCAUCACUCGGGGAUAGCCUUUCGAAAGAAAGAUUAAUACCCGAUAGUACUUUUUUGAGGCAUCUUAAGAAAGUUAAAGAUUUAUUGGUGAUGGAUGGGGAUGCGUUCCAUUAGAUUGUUGGUGAGGUAACGGCUCACCAAGUCUUCGAUGGAUAGGGGUUCUGAGAGGAAGGUCCCCCACAUUGGUACUGAGACACGGACCAAACUCCUACGGGAGGCAGCAGUGAGGAAUAUUGGUCAAUGGGCGAGAGCCUGAACCAGCCAAGUAGCGUGAAGGAUGAAGGUCCUAUGGAUUGUAAACUUCUUUUAUAGUAGAAUAAAGUGAUCCACGUGUGGAUUUUUGUAUGUAUACUAUGAAUAAGGAUCGGCUAACUCCGUGCCAGCAGCCGCGGUAAAACGUCUA